UACAGGGGGUGCAAACGUUGCUCGGAAUCAUUGGGCGUAAAGCGCACGUAGGCGGUCUGUUAUGUCGGAUGUGAAAGCCCUUGGCUCAACUGAGGAAGUGCAUCCGAAACUGGCAGGCUAGAGUACUAAAGAGGGUCGCGGAAUUCCCGGUGUAGAGGUGAAAUUCGUAGAUAUCGAGAGGAACACCUGCGGCGAAGGCGGGUUGCUGGGCUGAUACUGACGCUGAGGCGCGAAAGCCAGGGGAGCGAACGGG
rnacentral:rRNA from 1 species